rnacentral:rRNA from 1 species
CAGUCGAGCGGACAGAUGGGAGCUUGCUCCCUGAUGUUAGCGGCGGACGGGUGAGUAACACGUGGGUAACCUGCCUGUAAGACUGGGAUAACUCCGGGAAACCGGGGCUAAUACCGGAUGGUUGUUUGAACCGCAUGGUUCAAACAUAAAAGGUGGCUUCGGCUACCACUUACAGAUGGACCCGCGGCGCAUUAGCUAGUUGGUGAGGUAAUGGCUCACCAAGGCAACGAUGCGUAGCCGACCUGAGAGGGUGAUCGGCCACACUGGGACCGAGACACGGCCCAGACUCCUACGGGAGGCAGCAGUAGGGAAUCUUCCGCAAUGGACGAAAGUCUGACGGAGCAACGCCGCGUGAGUGAUGAAGGUUUUCGGAUCGUAAAGCUCUGUUGUUAGGGAAGAACAAGUACCGUUCGAAUAGGGCGGCACCUUGACGGUACCUAACCAGAAAGCCACGGCUAACUACGUGCCAGCAGCCGCGGUAAUACGUAGGUGGCAAGCGUUGUCCGGAAUUAUUGGGCGUAAAGGGCUCGCAGGCGGUUUCUUAAGUCUGAUGUGAAAGCCCCCGGCUCAACCGGGGAGGGUCAUUGGAAACUGGGGAACUUGAGUGCAGAAGAGGAGAGUGGAAUUCCACGUGUAGCGGUGAAAUGCGUAGAGAUGUGGAGGAACACCAGUGGCGAAGGCGACUCUCUGGUCUGUAACUGACGCUGAGGAGCGAAAGCGUGGGGAGCGAACAGGAUUAGAUACCCUGGUAGUCCACGCCGUAAACGAUGAGUGCUAAGUGUUAGGGGGUUUCCGCCCCUUAGUGCUGCAGCUAACGCAUUAAGCACUCCGCCUGGGGAGUACGGUCGCAAGACUGAAACUCAAAGGAAUUGACGGGGGCCCGCACAAGCGGUGGAGCAUGUGGUUUAAUUCGAAGCAACGCGAAGAACCUUACCAGGUCUUGACAUCCUCUGACAAUCCUAGAGAUAGGACGUCCCCUUCGGGGGCAGAGUGACAGGUGGUGCAUGGUUGUCGUCAGCUCGUGUCGUGAGAUGUUGGGUUAAGUCCCGCAACGAGCGCAACCCUUGAUCUUAGUUGCCAGCAUUCAGUUGGGCACUCUAAGGUGACUGCCGGUGACAAACCGGAGGAAGGUGGGGAUGACGUCAAAUCAUCAUGCCCCUUAUGACCUGGGCUACACACGUGCUACAAUGGACAGAACAAAGGGCAGCGAAACCGCGAGGUUAAGCCAAUCCC